CUUGAUUUCCUAGGAAUCUAUGUGUGUUUACCCUCCCUCCUCCUCCUAUUUGGCCCAUAGCCUCUUCAAUCCACUCACUAAAGCUUGUUUUUUGUUUUGUUUUGGUUUGAUUCUUCUAAUACAUGAUGUUCUGCGGGAACUUUAUGCCUUAGGGUAGUAGUUCUCAAACUCAGCUUGCAUUGUCAGAAUCAUCACUGUAACUUAAUAAUGCCCAGGCCCUAUCCCAGAUCACAGAUUCACAUUCAUGAGGACUGAGCCCAGGGUAGACAUUUGCUUCAAAAGCUUAGGUGUGACUCAGGAGCCAGAGGAGGAGGAACACCACCUUUAGAACAAGCCCACCUCCACAUGAAAGACCACCACUGUCUUUCAGUUGUGUGAAGCCCCUUAUGGUGUGCACAAAUACCUUUGGUGGCAGUGUCUCUCUGACUCUGCUGGCUGGCAACCCUACUUGGUUGGCAGUCCCACGUGUGCACAUGUCUGGGUGUCUGGAUGCCUGGCCUCUACCUGCCUCUCCCAACAUGGGCUCAUGCUACAAGUCUGCAGCAAGUCAGUGUCUUAAAAGACUCUUCCCUCUUGCACGCCUAAGCUGACAGCCAUUCUUCUUGGAGCCUCUGAUGGCCAGUCCAGGUGCAGUGCUUCUGCUAAACCUUCAGAGGGAAUUAUAAAAUUUUCCAGCUCAUUCAAAAGAUAAUUUAUUUCUGGGAACACUCUAGAUUCACCACAAAGCAUUGUAUUCCCGGCUCUGUUUCUCUCUGAGCAGGAGGACAGGGCAGAAGCUCAUAAGCUUCCCUUGCCAAAAGCAAUCAUUUAUAUUCCAAAUUGGCCCUUCUGGGUGGAGCAGGGUAAACACCAUCACUCCUUCUAAACAUUAUCCAAAUGCAGAUAUCAAAAGGCACUUGGUAUAUUCUCUACAUCUCUAUCAGAUGACCUUCUCAAUAUGCCAGGAGACAUCUGUAAAUCCAGCUUUAGGAAUAGCCAUACAAAUCUGAUAGCAUGCCUUGGUAAAUAUGCAAAUUAAAUGUCAGCAGUAAGCCAGAUUUCAAUGGUGAGGUUCCAGUGAAAACAUUUUCAUAUCCAGACAAGCCAAGGACAUGGGCAGGUGGUCAGUGUGCACGUAUGAAUUACAACCACUUUGGUAAGUUUAACACCACUGCUCUCUAUUUUGACUUUAGGAGCUGGCAAAUAAUAUAGCUAAAGGUUUUAGAGAGAACAAAAGGCAUGGUCCCUAUUCAGAGACCUCCCAUAUUUUGAAUUUUUGCUGGCUUAGGUCAGUCCAUGAACUAUAGUGCUCUUUUAAAAUGUAAUCAUAACCACAAAGGUACACACUGGAAUUCUUACAUUGCUUGGCAUUUGGUGAUUAAAGUUGACAUUCGUUGGGCUGAGCUGGAGUUUUAGAAUUGAUAGACCUCAACUAAUCCCAGCAAUAAAAAUGGUCACAAAUGAAUGCUGUGACAGGUUUCGAAACAAGAAAAAUCAUCACUGAGCUCACUAGAAAAGAUUAAGAGACUGUCAAGUUAAAAAGUUAUUGGCCCCGUUUACACUUGUGUUGGGUAGUGAAUGCUGUUUUAUCCAUUUGUACUUGCUCCGUCGCCUCUUUUACAUUUCUUGUUAUAAUAAUUUCCAAAGUCAUAAACAAAGAAAAUAAGACAUCAUCUCAGAUAAAAUGGCACAAGAUUUAAUACAAGUAAAAAACAUUAGCUAUGGAACAACCUGGCCUCAGAGAACAAAGAGCUUUAAAAUUCAUCUUACUCUACAGUGUUAGAAUGCUUUAUAUUAAAUAUUGAUUUUUCUCUUGAUUAUAUUGUUACACAUUCCACUGUUCCCAUGCCAUCAGCCUUGAGGACUUUAUUAUUUAUGUAAUUGCAAGAUCUGAGGCAGAGUGAAUGCGUCUGAUCUCAAUGAAUGGCAUAGGAUCUAAAAACUUAUCAGUAGAUUUCAGGGGAGAGGAAAAGACCAUUUUAAUUCUUUUGCAAGACUAUUGAUUAGUAACAGAUGUUGCUCUUCUGAUUGAAUUAUUUUUGAUUCAUUUUUUCAAAUAAAAAUAUGUAUCUGUCAAAGUAUUUUAAAUCAUCUAGAGAUAGAGGUUAUUUAAACAAGAUUCCUUUAUUUCUGUUUUCAGGGAGAGUCUCUACCUUCAAGUUCUCCGGGUUAUAUGGCCUUUUCAAACCUGAAAUUUAGAGUGACAAGUCACAGAAGAAACAAAGGCCACUGUAGAGACAAAUAAGAAGACGUGUGAGUGUUUCAGAGAGAGAUUUCACAGUGAAUACAGAUGCAUGGCUAAUUCAUCAAGGAAGGUAUCCUAUGUCAGAAAGAUACAGAAGCUCCAGCUGGGCUCAGGAAUAGUUUUCAUGAUUCAACUUAUUGAAAUAAACAAACAGAAAGCUAGUCGACAAAAACUUCCCAUUCUGAAGGUACAGAGAGCAUUUCUCCACUGCUGUUUGAGCAAUUUUGCAUCCUGCCAUCCAUCUCAUGAUGACUUCGAAGUCACCAUUGCUGAU
rnacentral:lncRNA from 1 species